UAUAAAUAAUUACCACCUACUACCCUCUUUUUCAAGUAUUCUAUAUUUAGAGCACGUCAUUUAGCCACCCCAAGGAAGGAGAAGGCGAGCUUCUGCUCAAUUCCAAAACUCAAAAAAAGUGGAAAAUUUUCUAGUCUCGUUUAGUUUGUUUGUCUACGACGACGUGAACUUUUUUCUCAUUUCAUAAUGAGUAUAUGAUCUUC
ensembl:ncRNA C04C3.12 ncRNA